CGUCGAUUCAACCUGAAGGUAGCGAGAGAUCACUUGUUUUGUGACCGUAUUGCAGGUUAUUAUUCCAACCUUGCUCUAACGUUAAGUCAACUACACAAGGUCUCGGUGAGCAGGUGUGUUUUGAGCAAGGCUGGAACAAAAACCUGCACACCAGUUCUCCAAGGGUUAGGGUUGGACAUCCUGGCAUCUGCUCCAAUAUACCGAGGGUGGCGUGAUUCAUUAUAACCAGGUCCCUGUGUUUUGGUUAAUUCAUUAUAACCAGGUCCCUGUGUUUUGGUUAAUUCAUUAUAACCAGGUCCCUGUGUUUUGGUUAAUUCAUUAUAACCAGGGUCCUGUGUUUUGGUUAAUCAUGUUGAUUCAUUAUAACCAGGUCCCUGUGUUUUGGUUAAUCGUGUUGAUUCAUUAUAUCUAGGACCCUGUGUUUUGGUUCAUUCAUUAUAACUAGGUCCCUGUGUUUUGGUUGAUUCAUUAUAACCAGGACCCUGUGUUUUGGUUCAUUCAUUAUAACUAGGUCCC
ensembl:lncRNA